GUGGCCAACUUCUUCCUUUUUUUGUGAUAAUUGAGUUCUUGAGGGGCCAGCGGUGCAAGGUCUAAAACUUUGUGGAUAAUAGGCCUGCUCCCUAUCUCCAGUUGAAUGCGAGGCUUCUGUUUACGGAAAGGUUUGAACCCAUGAUUUGCGCCUAACUCGCACAAAAGGUUGCACUCGUACCAUUAAUCGAAUUCGAGAUUGUGGAACUGAUGUUCACAUGUGUGGUCUCCAUGGAUAGCAGACUAUGUCCCAAUUUCUGGUGUUGUUGGAUUGUAUUGUAGUAUUUUAUGUUUCCCCGUCUUACACCAAUGUAAUGUUUGAGUUGGUG
rnacentral:lncRNA from 1 species